GCGGAAGAGGACUGUGGUUAUGACGCCAGGAUCAGGUCGUCCAGCGAGCUCUGCUGUGAUAAAUCGUGGUACUGGAUGAUGGUUAUGAUGAUGAUGAUAGUGAUAAUG